UCCAUUGAUGCAGGUCAGUUAUUGCCCUCCUUUACGCCCAGUUGCGUGGGACAUUGAUCCCCGUCAAUUUUCCAUUGCGCCUUCUCCUUUAACUUAGCCCUAUCGCAACAGGGCACGAGCAGGAGGCCGGUCAUGUUUUUCGAUAAUGUGGUGUUCGCCGGAGUGCUGACUGUAAGCCUCAUGGUGUUGUUCUUUGUAGGGUUUGGGAUUUUUAUCUGGAAAGACGCUAACAAGCGUAAAGAACCGUAAGUCUUUCUGGAUUACAUGGGCACGCAAGGCAUUUUGGGCGACUUCGGUCGCCCUUU
rnacentral:misc_RNA from 1 species